rnacentral:rRNA from 1 species
GACGAACGCUGGCGGCGUGCUUAACACAUGCAAGUCGAACGGAAAGGCCCUGCUUUUGUGGGUUGCUCGAUUGGCGAACGGGUGAGUAACACGUGAGUAACCUGCCCUUGACUUUGGGGUAACUUCAGGAAACUGGGGCUAAUACCGGAUAUGAGCUCCUGCUGCAUGGUGGGGGUUGGAAAGUUUCGGCGGUUGGGGAUGGACUCGCGGCUUAUCAGCUUGUUGGUGGGGUAGUGGCUUACCAAGGCUUUGACGGGUAGCCGGCCUGAGAGGGUUAACGGCCACAAGAGGACUGAGGUAGGGAGCAGAAGCGUACGGGAGGCAGCAGUCGGAAAUAUUGCACAAUAGGCGGAAGCCUGAUGCAGAAGUGCAGGGUGCGGGAUGAAGGCUUAAGAGUGAUAAACCGAUGUGGAAUGUAACAAAGCGUGAGUGACGGUAAUGGGUCAAGAAGCAACGGCGAACUACGUG